rnacentral:rRNA from 1 species
AUGGAACCUUUUACAGUACAUGUCUUUCCUUCUAAAUGUGAAUUCAUGUACAUCUUCAAGCACUUCACAUUUGUUGUAGCACUACGUAAUGGUGUACUUCUUUUAGAAAUUCUGCUCCUUACUUUUAUAAAUUCUACAUAUGGUUUCUCAUCACUUGGUCUAUAUAUAUCACCUUUUGGGCAACGAAUUAUUCAGUGUUCUGUGUUAAAGCUUUCAACCUUGAAAGCACAUAUUUGUUUGGGCAUGUGCUAUAUGUACCAUUUUAGAAGUAGUCAUUUGCUUAAACAUAGUGAAACUAGUCUGAGUACUGGCCCAAUCGUACCUCCACCCCUAAUAGCAAGGGCCACAUGUCAUGCCAACUAUUAG